GCAGCCCAUGCGGAAGAGCCGCCUCGAGCGGCACCGAAGGAGCAAGCACUCCCCGCCAACCUCUCAGGUCCGAAGACCGCAUGCGCAGG
rnacentral:ncRNA from 1 species